GGACAACAUGGCGGCCUUCAUGCUGGGCUCGCUGCUGCGGACGUUCAAGCAGGUCAGGCCUCUACUUUUAUCCACACCGCUACCCCUCACCGCUGAAUCUCAUAACCCACGGGUCCCCCACGGCUCUGCCACCUGUAGUGCUCGAUGGUUCCUUCAUCAGCUUCAGGCCAAGUUCGAAGUCACUAUGUAGACUGGAGAAUGUGGCGCGAUGUGAAGAGACGAAAAAUGGCCUAUGAAUACGCAGAUGAGAGGCUACGUAUUAAUUCACUCAGGAAGAAUACCAUUUUGCCAAAAAUUCUUCAGGAUGUGGCUGAUGAAGAAAUUGCUGCCCUCCCCCGGGAUAGCUGUCCUGUUAGAAUCAGAAAUCGGUGUGUUAUGACGUCCCGUCCGCGUGGUGUGAAGCGGCGCUGGAGGCUUAGUCGUAUAGUCUUCCGUCACUUAGCUGACCAUGGGCAACUUUCUGGGAUCCAGCGAGCGACAUGAGGGAACAAAAGCACAAAGAAGCAAAGGCACUCUGUAGCAUCAGAGAACCACAGUCACUUCAGUAGAUCAGAAAUAUGAAGCACAAGACAAGGCCCGUAUUGUGGAGGAUCUCACAAAUCAUGUGAAGGAAUUAAGACUGACAUACCAGGUAUUACAGAGUUUUAAGCACAGGAAUGACAUCAUCAGUUUGUAAUACAGGUAAGUGACAGCUGUGUGGCAGAUGGCCAUGAGAGGAAAAAGCUACAGGCAAGACAACCAGUUAGGAGGAUGUCUUAGUUGUUGAGGAAGAUGAAGGCCUGAACUAACAUUGUGGUAUUAGUAGAGGAGAGAGGACAGAUUUUUAAAGUUUUAGGAAAGAAAAUUGGGCAAGACUUACAAGACUGAUUAUAUCUAAGAGGUAAAGAUGGUUCUCUGGGUUCCUGAUAAAAGUGUCUAGAUAGAUGGUAGAGGGCAAUUCCAAGAGGGCAACUCCAAGAUAGAAAAUUUGGAAAAAGAACAAAUUUAGGGGAAACAGAAGAUAAGCGAGUUCAGGUUCCAGUCAUGCGGUGUUGGAGAUGCCUGUGUCAUCUGAUGAAGACUAGUACGCAGCUGGAUAGCAGAGUCCGAAACUCAGGUGGAGGUGAAGUUAUGAGGGAAUUAUCACAAUCUAGUUUGGAUUCAUAUUUCUUAAAUAUGUAUGACAACUUACCAACUGGAAUGUUCUAGCUAAUAUCUCAACUUAGAAUCCAUCUCACUACCAAUGGGCAAACACUUGUGUUCUAAAGUUACUUGCAAGUAGUUUAUACUGCCAACUUGAUAUAUAUACAUGCUAUAGUUUGAACAUUUUGUGUACUUCCAAAAUUCACAUUAAAAUCUAAUCCACAAUGCGUUGGUAUUAUUAAGAGGUGGGGCCCUUAGGGGUGAUUAGGCCAGGAGGGCUCCACACUCAUGGAUGGGAUCAGUGCCUUUCUAAGAGGGCUUGAGGGAGAGAGUUUGUCCCUUUUACCCUUCUGAUACUGCGAGAAGGCACCGUACUGGAAGCAGAAAGCAAGCCCUUACCAAACACCAAUCUGCUGGUGCCAAAUCUUAGACUUCUCCAGCCUCCAGAAGUGCAAGAAGUAAAUAUUAUUUAUAAAUUCUUAGUCUAUGGCAUUUUGUUACAGCAGCAGGAAUAGACUAAGACAAUGUGUUGAUAGGUUUAGGGUCAUGUUUUACUUUUUCAGUCAUGUUAAAUUUUAGAUGGUUCUAAAGUCAAAACUCUAGAAAAAGUUAAAUUCACAGAAUAGCUUCCAUCCUCAUCUCCUUCCUUCCCCUGCUAACAAUUUUUAUUAGCUUUGGGUUUACUCGUUUCUUUUUGAAACAUAAGCAAAUACACCUAUGUGCAUACAUUCACAUUUCUCACCCUUUCUUACACAAAUGUAGUGGGUAUACCAUAAAUGUUCUGCACUUUGCUUUUCCACUUACUCUAUCCUGGAGACCAUUUUACGUUAUAUAGAACUCUUCAUUGUUUUGUGACUUAAGUACUCCCUCAUGUGGAUGCACCAUAAUACAUUCCUGUUAAAUAGACACGAGUAUUUUUAAUCUUUUGCAUAUAGCAUUCCAAAUUUUUCUAAAUGUACCUUUCAGAGCCCAGAAAGAAGUUAAAAUUCUGGGUCAAAGGAUAAAUGAAUAUGUCAUUCUGAUGGUUAUUACCAAAUACUCUUUCUGAGACAAGAGUCUUACUCUGUCACCCAGGCUGGAGUGCAGUGGCACAAUCUCAGCUCACUGCAACCUCUGCCUCCCGGGUUCCAGUGAUUCUCGUCCCUCGGCUUCCCAGGUUCAAGUGAUUCUUGUCCUUCAGUCUCCCGAGUAGCUGGAGUUACAGGCAUCUGCCACCAUGCCCAGCUAGUUUUUUUUAUUUUCAGUAGAGACAGGGUUUCACCAUGUUGGCCAGAUGGUCUUGAACUCCUGACCUCAAGUGAUCCGCCCACCUUGGCCUCCCAAGGUGUUGGGAUUACAGGUGUGAGCCACUGCACCUGCCCAAAUAUUCUUGUUAACCAAAGUUUAACUUUUGCAUUCCAUUCCCAUAUAUGUGUCCUUAUUUCUCCACAGCCUCAACUCAAUACAGUUGUUUUUAUACUUCUUUUUCAAGUGAAAGGUAAAAACACUGGUUUAUUCUCUUCUGAACAAGGUGAGCAUCUUUACAUGUUAAAGGUCAUUUACAUUUCUUUUUGUAUGAAGUAUUCUUAAUUAUUGGAAUCCUGUCAAUACAUUGUUUGCCUUGGGUUAUGGUGGGGUUUUUCUUGUCCUAUAAACAUUUUUAUGUAGUUAAAAUUGAUCAAUAGUUUUAUUUAUUUCUUCUAGGUUUUAAGUCACAUAUAAUGUCGUUUUCCUCCAUUUUCUUCUAGUAUUUGUAUGCUUUACUUUUUACAAUUAGAUCGUCAGGCGGCUUGGAAUAUAUCUAUAUGCCUAUUUUCAGUUAUCUUAGUAUCAUUAAAAACCCAUCUUUACCCCACUUUUACCAUAUUCUGUAACUUUCAUAUGCAUUGUGUCUGCUAUUCUGUUCAUGUGUCAACCCCAAUUACAGAGGCAUAAUGUGUUUCAGUAUUUACUUAUAGCUAUCCUAUACAUAAACUGUUUCUGUAUUUUAAAUCCUACCACUUCUUCCAAAUUCCCAUAUUAAUUGUAGCUUUAGUUUAGUUUACCCUUCUGGAUUUUUCCUGUGUGUCUAACGGCUUUUUUUUUUUUUUUUUUUUUAAUGAGACAGGUUCUCAAUCUGUUACCCAAGCUGCAGUACAGUGGCAUCAUCAUAGCUCACUGCAGCCUUAAACUCCUGGGCUGAAGUGAUCCUCCAGCCUUAGUAGCUGGGAUUACGGGCGCCAGCCUUCAUGCCUGGCUUCAAUUGCUUUCUCUGAUCUAACUGUGUUGGCUAAUACCUCCAGGAAAAUAAAGUAAUGGAGAUCACAGGCACUGGUCCUGACUUCAGGGGGAAUAGGAGUAAUUCCUACUAAAAGCCUGAUUUUUCUGACAUACUCCUAGACAAAUAAAUCAUAAAACUGUU
rnacentral:lncRNA from 10 species